CGCUGCAGUGGGGCUGUCCCUCCAUCCAGAGCAUUCCCGGUUGUGCUGAGCAGGACGUGGUGCUCUCAGGGAAAGGAGCCCUCUGGAAAAGCUGUGUUUGGAUGCACUCUACAAACCGUGUCCCUUUUAUUUCUCUUCCCGUGCCAAUGAGUUGAGGGUUAUCAGCGUGUAUGGAAGUGAGAAAUUUGAUAAUUCCCUUUUCCAGUCCUUGUGGAGCUGUCCAGCUGCCAGAUCUGUUACAGCAGCCACAUGACCUGCACACACCUGCCAUUAUUCCUUACCAUGAGCUCUGAGGGAAAGGUGGGAGCACCUGGGAAUAAUCCUGAGCUUCCAUUGAAUUUUGGAGCUGAUUACAGAGACUCCCAUUUCUCUGGAGGAAGUGUGUGUCAUCCUUGGUGCUCUGCCAGGUUCUGUUUAAUUGCUCUUUAUUAAGAGCAGCCCUAGGCACAAGAUAAUCUUUAUAGAGGCCACGAUCCAUCCUGACCCAGCUGCAUCCCACGGCUUGGGAGGAACCAGCUCCGAGGCUCAGCCAGGUAAGACUCUCUCAGAGGUGUAGAAAAACCAAAUGCAAGGAGGUCUCCUCACGAGGGUAAAGGAACUCAUGAUUUUAAUUUUCUGAUUGUUAAUUUCCUCUCUCAUUCUGCCAUGUGGUGCAUCUCUCAUCUCAUUUGGAAAAGCAAGGGAGAAAUGGAAACACACCCAGAGAUCAGCAACACUAUUCUGACAGGGCUGGUGAUGGCAAAAUGAUCACCCUCAAGCUGUGCUCACUCAUUUGGCUCUCAUUUGAAGGUCAUGGCUUUGAGUAUCUCUGCAAACAGUGCACAGGGCUAUGACCAAAGUGUAGGGGGAAAAAUUCUAGACUGUGAUCAAAAUAAAAAAAUCCUCUCCAAACCCAAGAGUCCCUAGGUGUCCGUAAUCAAACUGUGGUUGUAAUUUGUGUAGCCUGAAGAUGUGGCCAGUCCAUGAGCUGGUGACCUGGAAAUGCACUGGGCGUCCCAGCGUUACUGAGCUCAGCAUUAACUCCACUGAAUCUGGAGGCAUUGGGAUCUGUCACCAAUAUGGUGACAAUCAGAAAUUUUAAAAAAUAGCCAACAAAGGGAAAUCAGGUUUUUUUCCUUUCCUGUUUUCAGUUUUACAGCACCAGCACAGUCAGGGAAUGUUGCAUUUGUGCUCUUCAGCUGGAUGUGCCAUUGGAUAUUUUGGUUCUCAGUGUGGAAAAGAGGCAGUUUGAAGUCAGCUACUGAAAAAAUAAUUUUGAAGGUGUUUUUAAUGUCUUGCUUCAAGAAAGACAGUGGGUGGAGCUUGGAUUCAGGUAGCAAAUCCAAUUUCCUGUCCUGAAUGGCAGUGCCAGUGUGGCAAUUAGACCAUGAAGGACAAUACUAAUUGUAAGGUGUAUGUGGGUGGGGAAAAAAAAGGAUUCACUUAUGAUUUCACAUGUUCACAUUUCACAUGAUGAUUAUUUCAGUUUCCUUGACAACUUCCACUGUGCAGCCUGAGUAUCCCUGAGAAUUCCACUUGGAAGCAAGUGGGCAGCAGGUAGAUACUGGAGAUGGGAAUGCUUUGAGGGAGAACAGUGGGAAACUUUGGUUCAAACCUGUUUUACUGUGGUUUUGUUCUUCCCAUCAAACGCUGUGUCAUUGUUUUCACUUCCCAUUGAACUGGUGGUGGUUCUUUAGAGGUGCAUAUGGCACCAGGAAGAGCAGUGGAAACGUUUACUGAAGUCCCUUUUUUAUUUUUUCAUUGGGAAACUGAAUGGUCACUAAAUUGUGUAACAUAAACAGUUACAGCAGAGUAGACUUUGGUUAGAGAUAGAGCAAAACCAGUUGAAAAAGCAGUAGAAAAGGAUUUUGCUUCAGUAUUUCAGAUACAGAAUCCCUGCAGCUCUGGGCUCUGGGCUUGUCUUCAUCAGUCCCUCUGCUCCCAAGCAUUAAAUCAUCACAACCAAAACCUCAAAGAGCUCAGAAGGCUUUAAAAAAAGACGAAGUGUUGGGUUGUUUAGCUUUUCCCAUCCAUCAUUUCAAUCUUUGCAUGAUAUCUUCAAAGAUUUUCUUUUUAAUAAAAAUGGGAUUGCUCUGCAAUCCCAUGAGAGAUCCUUUCAGGGAGAAAGUAAAAUUGCAAGACCCUAAAAAUCACAAGGAAUGACAAUGAAGUUGGGUUACAGAUGUAAUUGGCUUUAAUUGAAAAACCAUCUACUGGAAAAAAACCUCAAAUGUAGCUGAACAAUGCUACAGGUCAAAGGAAGUUCCUGAGGAGAGAGGUAAUGGUUAUAGGGGAUCAGGAAAGGAACAAGGGGUGCUUAACCCAAAAGAGGAAAAAUGGAAUCAUUUACUUUAUACAU